AUGAUCUUCCCUGACACCCUGGCGAAGAUGCGAAUUUUCAAGUCUCGUCUAAGCCCGACAUCCAUCGGCUUCCACGGGUUUGUGCCCGGCAGAAAGAUUACUUCUGCUCAGAAACAUUGUGCUUCGAGGUCAUGUUGUUCCAUACGAGCUACAACGCCAUCCUUGCCAGGCCCGCCGACGAAAAGUUCAUGGUGCUACACUUGUACACAUAUUUGUUACUCAAGAGGCCCGGACCAAAUGACAGCAUCACCUUCCACGGUAGCACUGAAAAGAGCGCUAGCGGCAGAGGUCACAAACGUCGAGAUCAGGGAAGCUGCCCUGGCUUCCAUAGAACUUGAAGAGAUCAAGAGGCCCGCCGAUCCAACCACAACAACCUAA
rnacentral:rRNA from 1 species